rnacentral:rRNA from 1 species
GAUGAACGCUAGCGGCAGGCUUAAUACAUGCAAGUCAAGGGGGUAGCAAUACAACCGGCGCACGGGUGAGUAACGCGUACACAACAUACCAUAUACUGGAGUAUAGCUUUGGGAAACUGAAGGUAAUCCUCCAUAACAUUGCGAGAGGGCAUCUGAUUGCAAUUAAAGUUUCGGCGGUAUAUGAUUGGUGUGCGUUUGAUUAGCUAGUUGGUAGGGUAACGGCCUACCAAGGCGACGAUCAAUAGCUGGCGUGAGAGCGCGACCAGCCACACUGGAACUGAGACACGGUCCAGACUCCUACGGGAGGCAGCAGUAGGGAAUAUUGGACAAUGGAGGAAACUCUGAUCCAGCCAUGCCGCGUGAUAGAUGAAGGCCUUCGGGUCGUAAAGCUCUGUGGGGAGAGACGAAGAAAGCCCGUGAAGAGCGGGCCUUGACGGUAUCUCCUUAGCAAGCACCGGCUAACUCCGUGCCAGCAGCCGCGGUAAU